rnacentral:rRNA from 1 species
GAUCAUGGCUCAGGACGAACGCUGGCGGCGUGCUUAACACAUGCAAGUCGAACGAAAAGACGGAAAGAGCUUGCUCUUUCCGGAAUUGAGUGGCAAACGGGUGAGUAACACGUAAACAACCUGCCUUCAGGAUGGGGACAACAGACGGAAACGACUGCUAAUACCGAAUAAGUUCCAAGGGCCGCAUGGCCCAUGGAAGAAAAGGUGGCCUCUACCUGUAAGCUAUCGCCUGAAGAGGGGUUUGCGUCUGAUUAG